GCCUGGGUGGCUCAGUCGGUUAAGCGUCCGACUUUGGCUCAGGUCACCAUCUCAGGUUUGUGGGUUCGAGCCCCACAUCGGGCU
rnacentral:tRNA from 1 species